rnacentral:tRNA from 12 species
AGAGAUUUAAGUUAAUAAAACUGAAAACCUUCAAAGUUUUAAAUAAGAGUGGAACUCUCUUAGUCUUUA